UACGAAGGGGGCUAGCGUUGCUCGGAAUCACUGGGCGUAAAGGGUGCGUAGGCGGGUCUUUUAAGUCAGGGGUGAAAUCCUGGAGCUCAACUCCAGAACUGCCUUUGAUACUGGGGAUCUCGAGUCCGGAAGAGGUGAGUGGAACUCCGAGUGUAGAGGUGAAAUUCGUAGAUAUUCGGAAGAACACCAGUGGCGAAGGCGGCUUACUGGUCCGGUACUGACGCUGAGGUGCGAAAGCGUGGGGAGCAAACAGG
rnacentral:rRNA from 1 species